rnacentral:rRNA from 1 species
ACGACCAUACCCAUCCCAUCGGAAAACUCGGGAUCCCGUCCGCUCUCCCAUAGAUAAGCCAAUGAGGGCUGGAGUAGUAGUCGGGUCGGUGACGACCGGCGAAUGCCCGGUGUUGUAUGUU